rnacentral:rRNA from 1 species
UACGUAGGGGGCUAGCGUUGUCCGGAAUCAUUGGGCGUAAAGAGCGCGUAGGCGGCCAGAUAAGUCCGCUGUGAAAGUCGGGGGCUCAACCCUGGGAUGCCGGUGGAUACUGUCGAGCUCGAGUCCGGAAGAGGCGAGUGGAAUUCCUGGUGUAGCGGUGAAAUGCGCAGAUAUCAGGAGGAACACCAAUGGCGAAGGCAGCUCGCUGGGACGUUACUGACGCUGAGACGCGAAAGCGUGGGGAGCAAACAGG